rnacentral:rRNA from 1 species
CCUACGGGGGGCUGCAGUGAGGAAUAUUGGUCAAUGGGCGCAAGCCUGAACCAGCCAUCCCGCGUGCAGGAAGACGGCCCUAUGGGUUGUAAACUGCUUUUCCGAAAGGCGAAACUCAGCGACGUGUCGUUGAUUGACGGUAUUUCGGGAAUAAGCAUCGGCUAACUCCGUGCCAGCAGCCGCGGUAAUACGGAGGAUGCGAGCGUUAUCCGGAUUCAUUGGGUUUAAAGGGUGCGUAGGCGGACUAAUAAGUCAGUGGUGAAAUCCUGCAGCUUAACUGCAGAACUGCCAUUGAUACUGUUAGUCUUGAGUUUGGUUAAGGUAGGCGGAAUGUGUAAUGUAGCGGUGAAAUGCUUAGAUAUUACACAGAACACCAAUUGCGUAGGCAGCUUACUGGACCGACACUGACGCUGAGGCACGAAAGCGUGGGGAUCGAACAGGAUUAGAUACCCCGGUAGUC